rnacentral:rRNA from 1 species
UCCUACGGGAGGCAGCAGUGGGGAAUUUUGGACAAUGGGCGCAAGCCUGAUCCAGCAAUGCCGCGUGAGUGAAGAAGGCCUUCGGGUUGUAAGCUCUUUUGUUCAGGAACGAAACGGACUGGGUUAAUACCUUGGUCUAAUGACGGUACCUGAAGAAUAAGCACCGGCUAACUACGUGCCAGCAGCCGCGGUA